AACGAACGCUGGCGGCGUGGCUAAGGCAUGCAAGUCGAACGGAUCUAUCCCAAGGGUAACUGAGGGAUAGGUGAGUGGCGGACGGGUGAGUAAUACAUGGACAACGUACCCCGGAUUCAGGGAUAACGGCGGGUUCCGAGCAAUCGGAAUCCUUUGCGAAAGUGCCGCUAAUACCUGAUGACGCCGAAACACCGCAUGGUGUUUCGGCCAAAGUUACGGCGAUCUGGGAGCGGUCCAUGCCUAUCAGCUAGUUGGUAGGGUAACGGCCUACCAAGGCUACAACGGGUACCGGGUGUGAGAGCACGACCCGGCACAUCGGAACUGAGACACUGUCCGGACACCUACGGGUGGCUGCAGCAACGAAUAUUCCGCAAUGGGCGAAAGCCUGACGGAGCGACGCCGCGUGCAGGAUGAAGUCCC
rnacentral:rRNA from 1 species